CCUACGGGUGGCAGCAGUGAGGAAUAUUGGUCAAUGGGCGUAAGCCUGAACCAGCCAAGUCGCGUGAGGGAUGAAGGUUCUAUGGAUCGUAAACCUCUUUUAUAAGGGAAUAAAGUGUGGGACGUGUCCUAUUUUGUAUGUACCUUAUGAAUAAGGAUCGGCUAACUCCGUGCCAGCAGCAGCGGUAAGACGGAGGAUCCGAGCGUUAUCCGGAUUUAUUGGGUUUAAAGGGUGCGUAGGCGGCCUUUUAAGUCAGCGGUGAAAGUCUGUGGCUCAACCCUAGAAUUGCCUUUGAAACUGGGGGGCUUGAGUAUGUUAGAGGCAGGCGGAAUGCGUGGUGUAGCGGUGAAAUGCUUAGAUAUCACGCAGAACCCCGAUUGCGAAGGCAGCCUGCCAGGCCAUGACUGACGCUGAUGCACGAAAGCGUGGGGAUCAAACAGGAUUAGAUACCCCAGUAGUC
rnacentral:rRNA from 1 species